UGCCCGGACCCUGUCGCACC
rnacentral:snRNA from 1 species